rnacentral:rRNA from 1 species
AUACGUAGGGGGCGAGCGUUGUCCGGAAUGACUGGGCGUAAAGGGCGUGUAGGCGGCCGACUAAGUCUGGAGUGAAAGUCCUGUUUUCCAGGUGGGAAUAGCUUUGGAUACUGGUUGGCUUGAGUGCGGAAGAGGUAAGUGGAAUUCCCAGUGUAGCGGUGAAAUGCGUAGAGAUUGGGAGGAACACCAGUGGCGAAGGCGACUUACUGGGCCGUAACUGACGCUGAGGCGCGAAAGCGUGGGGAGCGAACAGGAUUAGAUACCCUGGUAGUCCACGCGGUAAACGAUGGAUGCUAGGUGUUGCGGGUAUCGACCCCUGCAGUGCCGGAGUCAACACAAUAAGCAUUCCGCCUGGGGAGUACGGCCGCAAGGUUGAAACUCAAAGGAAUUGACGGGG